AUGGUGUCCUAUCAUUCCCCCCAAAAGGCUGGACACAUUGGCAUAACUGUUGAUGACACCUACAAAGCAUGUGAAAGAUUUCAGAAUCUGGGAGUUGAGUUUGUUAAGAAACCAGAUGAUGGGAAAAUGAAAGGGAUAGCAUUUAUUAAGGAUCCCGAUGGAUAUUGGAUUGAAAUCUUUGACCGGAAAACAAUAGGAAAUGUAACAGCAGGUGCUGCCGUAUAA